AUGUGGGGUCCCAUCUUUCUUUUGGUUAUAAAUCCUAUUAUUCUGGAUGUCAAAUUAGUAUUGAAAAUAUGCCAUCAAAAUGGUUCCACUCUUAACUACGCCAUUCUGAGCGUAUCUUGUGAAAAGGCGUUUGGAUCUCAGGGGGGCCUGAGUGCCCUCAUUUGUUCAGUGUUGUGUGCUUUGGCAGAGAGGACAGCAGUGCGCUUGCGUGUGGCGUGUAGUCGCUGUUGCCCUAACCAGGUUGCCUGUGACAUCCUGCUACCAAGUCCAAAGGAACAACCCGGGUGUACAGGGGUAAGUGUAGCCAGUGUAGUAUUGACGCAGCCUUACGGAGUAAAAUAGAUCACGUUGUAGUUCUUUUUCACUUGGCCAUCUGCGAACGUAGGGGGUAGAGGACGGGACAGUAGGAAGGAGAGCAUGAGGACGAAUAAGUGAGUCUAGGAACCAGCCGGGAUCAGGAAAGUGCUGAGCAGCAGAACAAAAUCGUGUGUCUCUGCCCUAAGCUCACCUUGAUGGCUCUUUAAUUUUACAUGUUUAAUUCUCAAUUCUUCUAUUUUGUGCUAGAAUCAUGUCGGCAAGGCCAUCCCAACCUCUCUACUGAGCAGGCCCUACAGUCUCCGUGGCCUCGGGAAACAAGCUCCUACCCCACUCACUCGGGAGCGAACACCGGUGACCGGGGCUGCGCUGCGGACUUUUCUCCACGUUGACUUCGAGGAUUCAGCCCUUUUUCUGUCUCCUGUCCUGCUGCUGUUGAAGGCAGGGGUUGGCCAACUAUGGACUGUGGACUCGUCACUUAUUUCAUAAAGUUUCAUCGGACACAGCGUCGAAUGUUCGCGUGUUGCUCCUGCCUCUCUGCCCGGAGGACGGAGCCGAGUGGCUCUCCCAGCUCCUGACGUCGCAGCAGGACAACCCGCCACGGCUCUGCUGCAGAGAAGUUGGCCAGCUUUGCUCCUGGGCCGGUUUGUCCGCUGCCUCGAGCCUUCGGGAAUAAAAGAGCACAGAGAACUUAGGAACAAAGCCUUGGGUCGGAGAAGACGUUCAUGUCUUCUACUCCCCUUCACGGGUAGACACCGGCCACAUGGUCACUGUGCAUGUAGACCGUCUGGGAAACGCAGUCUCGGGCCAAGACGCCUGUUCCCAGCCACGACUCGACAUUAUGAGGGGUGGAGCACACGUGUUGGAGAACAGUCAUCGGUCUCUGCUACCAAACACCUAAUCAGAGCCUCGAAAGGAACCAUGGAAGUCAUGCUUAAUUAAUUAACUCCUAUUCAUCCAGGGUAUCCUAUGUUUCACCAAAUUUUGAGUUCUUAAAAAAGAGAAAUGAAUAAGACUCAAUCAAAUAAGUGAAACCACCAUAUACGGAUCUCUUUCAUUCUUGUUAUAUUCUUGUUACAGUCACCUGAAUAAUCACGGGGGCGGGGGGGAGGUGGUAACGACAGGAGGGGAGUGUGGGUUCUGUGUGGUUCUGGGUCAGUGCUUCCCUAGAUGUCAGCUGCUGGCUGUUCCUGGAUGAGGAGAUUGGAAAAUGAACGUGUUCACACUGCAAGAUUUGGGCAGAUACUCAGAAUUGGGGCUCACAGGGCACUGGGCCUGUAGAGCUGGGCUAACAGACCGGGCCAAAAGCUAACCUGAGGGCUGUGCUGGUGACCGGUGAAGACGGAAGAUGCCAACAAUAAUGUUGGCCUUAGCGGGUGAGCUGGCUAUGCUCCUUUUCUUUGAUUAAAUUCAAUGAAGUGUCUACUUUUUGCUUGGAGUGAGGACACUAAGUAAGAUAUCAUCUUUCCCUUUAAGGAACACAUGAUUUAAUAGAGGAGAUAAAACACAAAAAUAAGUAGUUUCAAUAAAAUAUGGUAAUUCUCUUGAGGAUGCCAUGCCCUGGUGCCUAAUUCCACUUACGGGAGUAGUUUGGGGUGUUAAGAAUGACUUCCUAG
rnacentral:lncRNA from 1 species